AUUGAACGCUGGCGGCAUGCCUUACACAUGCAAGUCGAACGGCAGCGGGGGAGAAGCUUGCUUUUCCUGCCGGCGAGUGGCGAACGGGCGAGUAAUACAUCGGAACGUGCCCUGUAGUGGGGGAUAACUAGUCGAAAGAUUAGCUAAUACCGCAUACGACCUGAGGGUGAAAGUGGGGGACCGCAAGGCCUCAUGCUAUAGUAGCGGCCGAUGUCUGAUUAGCUAGUUGGUGGGGUAAAGGCCUACCAAGGCGACGAUCAGUAGCUGGUCUGAGAGGACGAUCAGACACACUGGGACUGAGACACGGCCCAGACUCCUACGGGAGGCAGCAGUGGGGAAUUUUGGACAAUGGACGAAAGCCUGAUCCAGCAAUGCCGCGUGUGUGAAGAAGGCCUUCGGGUUGUAAAGCACUUUUGUCCGGAAAGAAAUGGCUCUGGUUAAUACCUGGGGUCGAUGACGGUACCGGAAGAAUAAGGACCGGCUAACUACGUGCCAGCCGCCGCAGUAAUAC
rnacentral:rRNA from 1 species